rnacentral:rRNA from 1 species
GUGAACGCUGGCGGCGGUGCCUAACACAUGCAAGUCGAGCGAAGUGGCAGCUGUAGCAAUACAGUAUGGCUUAGCGGCAGACGGGUGAGUAACACGUAGACAACUUCCCUCUUAGCGGGGGAUAGCCCGCCUGAAAGGCGGGGGGUAAUACCGCGUACGAUUCGCCGGUGGCAUCUUUGGCGAAUGAAACAUCCGUAAGGAUGGCUAAGGGAAAGGUCUGCGGCCUAUCAGCUAGUUGGCGGGGGUAACGGCCCACCAAGGCGACGACGGGUAUCCGACCUGAAAGGGUGACCGGACACACUGACACUGAGACACGGGUCAGACUCCUACGGGAGGCAGCAGUGAGGAAUUUUGGACAAUGGGGGCAACCCUGAUCCAGCGACCGCCGCGUGAAGGAUGAAGGUCUUCGGAUUGUAAACUUCUUUUAUCUGGGACUAAGAAACCUGUGGAAAACACGGGGAGUGAAUGUACCAGAGGAAUAAGCCCCACGGCUAACUUCGUGCCAGCAGCCGCGGUAAUACGAAGGUGGCAAGCGUUACUCGGAAUUACUAGGCCGUAAAGGGCAGGUAGGUGGUUUGGUAAGUCUGUUGUGAAAGCUCCCGGCUUAACUGGAGAGGUCAACGGAUACUGCCGAACUUGAGUAUAGGAGAGGUUACUGGAAUUCCGGUUGUAGCGGUGAAAUGCGCAGAGACGGGAGGAACACCAUUGGCGACAAGCAGGUAACUGGACUAUUACUGACACUCAGCUGCGAAAGCUGGGGAGCAACAGGAUUAGAUACCCUGGUAGUCCUAGCUGUAAACGAUGCACAUUAGACGUGAGGGGUAUCGACCCCCUUCGUGCGACGCUAACGCAUUAAAUUGUGCCGCCUGGGGAGUACGACCGCAAGGUUGAAACUCAAGGGAAUUGACGGGGGCCCGCACAAGCGGGGAGCAUUGUUUAAUUCGACGCAACGCGAAGAACCUUACCUAGGCUUGAACUGUGAAGUAGAAUGAUGAAUGAAAGUCGAGACGACCUGUAAGUCAGGAGCCAAUAGAGGUGCUGCAUGGCUUGUGUCAGCUCGUGUCGUGAGAUGUUGGGUUAAUCCCGCAACGAGCGCAACCCCUACCCUAUGUUGCCACGUCUGUAAUGGACAGCACUCUUAGGGAACCGCCUCGGACAACGGGAGGAAGGUGGGGAUGACGUCAAGUCACCAUGGCCUUUAUGUCCAGGGCUACACACGUGCUACAAUGGCCGGUACAACGAGCAACACAAUCCGCAAGGAGGAGCAAAUCUCUAAAAGCCGGCCCAGUUCAGAUAGUGGGCUGCAAUUCGCCCACUUGAAGGUGGAAUCGCUAGUAAUCGGGGAUCAGCUGGCCCCGUGAAUACGUUUCCCGGGCCUUGUACACACCGCCCGUCACACCACGAAAGUUGGGUGCACCCAAACCGGUGAUUCAACCGCAAGGGAGAUAGCCGUCGAAGUUGUGACCAUGAUUGGGGUG